rnacentral:rRNA from 1 species
CGGUGGAGCAUGUGGUUUAAUUCGAAGCAACGCGAAGAACCUUACCAGGCCUUGACAUGCAGAGAACUUUCCAGAGAUGGAUUGGUGCCUUCGGGAACUCUGACACAGGUGCUGCAUGGCUGUCGUCAGCUCGUGUCGUGAGAUGUUGGGUUAAGUCCGUAACGAGCGCAACCCUUGUCCUUAGUUACCAGCACGUUAUGGUGGGCACUCUAAGGAGACUGCCGGUGACAAACCGGAGGAAGGUGGGGAGUGACGUCAAGUCAUCAUGGCCCUUACGGCCUGGGCUACACACGUGCUACAAUGGUCGGUACAAAGGGUUGCCAAGCCGCGAGGUGGAGCUAAUCCCAUAAAACCGAUCGUAGUCCGGAUCGCAGUCUGCAACUCGACUGCGUGAAGUCGGAAUCGCUAGUAAUCGUGAAUCAGAAUGUCACGGUGAAUACGUUCCCGGGCCUU